AACGUAGGACGCAAGCGUUAUCCGGAGUUACUGGGCGUAAAGCGCGAGCAGGCGGCUCGACAAGUUCGAUGUGAAAGCGCCCGGCUCAACCGGGCGAGGCCAUUGGAAACUAUCGAGCUGGAGGGCGGUAGAGGCAGGCGGAAUUCCGGGUGGAGUGGUGAAAUGCGUAGAGAUCCGGAGGAACACCAGAGGCGAAGGCGGCCUGCUGGGCUGCACCUGACGCUGAGCCGCGAAAGCCAGGGGAGCGAACGGG
rnacentral:rRNA from 1 species